GGCCCCGUAGCUCAACUGAAUAGAGCACCUCACUACGGAUGAGGAGGUUAAAGGUUUGAAUCCUUUCGGGGUCAC
rnacentral:tRNA from 1 species